rnacentral:rRNA from 1 species
CCUACGGGAGGCAGCAGUCGAGAAUCAUUCACAAUGGGGGAAACCCUGAUGGUGCGACGCCGCGUGGGGGAAUGAAGGUCUUCGGAUUGUAACCCCCUGUCAUGUGGGAGCAAAUUAAAAAGAUAGUACCACAAGAGGAAGAGACGGCUAACUCUGUGCCAGCAGCCGCGGUACUACAGAGGGCUCAAGUGUUGUUCGGAAUCACGGGGCGUAAAGCGUGCGUAGGCUGUUUCGUAAGUCGUGUGUGAAAGGCGCGGGCUCAACCCGCGGACGGCACAUGAUACUGGGAGACUAGAGUAAUGGAGGGGGUACCGGAAUUCUCGGUGUAGCAGUGAAAUGCGUAGAUAUCGAGAGGAACACUCGUGGCGAAGGCGGGUUCCUGGACAUUAACUGACGCUGAGGCACGAAGGCCAGGGGAGCGAAAGGGAUUAGAUACCCCGGUAGUC